CUACAGAGGGUGCAAGCGUUAAUCGGAUUUACUGGGCGUAAAGCGCGCGUAGGUGGCUAAUUAAGUCAAAUGUGAAAUCCCCGAGCUUAACUUGGGAAUUGCAUUCGAUACUGGUUAGCUAGAGUAUGGGAGAGGAUGGUAGAAUUCCUGGUGUAGCGGUGAAAUGCGUAGAGAUCUGGAGGAAUACCGAUGGCGAAGGCAGCCAUCUGGCCUAAAACUGACACGGAGGUGCGAAAGCAUGGGGAGCAAACAGGAUUAGAUACCCUGGUAGUCCAUGCCGUAAACGAUGUCUACUAGCCGUUGGGGCCCUUGAGGCUUUAGUGGCGCAGCUAACGCGAUAAGUAGACCGCCUGGGGAGUACGGUCGCAAGACUAAAACUCAAAUGAAUUGACGGGG
rnacentral:rRNA from 1 species